AAUGUGAGCAACAUAGCUCCACAGAAUGUAAGGUAAUCUCUGAUGAUGAGUCCAGUUUGGACGAAUCAGAUGAAUUGGACAGCUCCAUAAAUGAAUCCUCAAAUGAGCCCCCAACCAGGGUG